CUGCUAAUUUCAGUUAUUUUGGCACCAACAAAAAACGACCAUUUGCUGAAUUGGAACUAUGCAGUGUUUUAGCAGAUGUUGUACGAAUUCAUCACAGCGAUAUUACGAAUGCUAACAUGAAGGAACCCAUCCAGAGUUGGCUGCGCCAUGGUAAAGAGAAAUGUAGCAAACUGUAAAAAAAUUUUAAAAAAACUUUCUUAAUUUUAAUAAAUUUAAAAAAAUAUUUCUAAUUAA